GGUAAACGAAUCUCGGCGACUGAACCGUCGUGGCUGACCGUUCCUCGCGGUGGCGUGGCAUAUGAAUCUCCUCCUCGCCGUAUGAGGUUACUGCUGAUGGCGGCGGCGGAGUUUUAACUUGCCGGAAGAUGUAUUCGUAGUAGAACUGAACACAGCGGACCGGAGCCGUGGGCCACGCAAACCGUUGCUACUAUUCCAUUACUACAACCUACAGGAGCUACUCAUAUAAAGCAUGGAACUUUGGCAAAGAAAAGGCACAAAGACAAAGCAAGCAGGAGACCAGUCGUUGGUCCAAAAAACAAAAUAACCCAUUUGCUGAAAUUUGAGUUCCCCCUCCUUUGCUUUUUUUUCUGCAUUCUCGAGGUUAGUCCUAAAGUUGCAACUUUUCCUUUACUUAAAAAAACCCAAAACAUUACAUUUUUUAAAGAACGAGAUAGUGAGAUCUUGAAAUGUUUGAUGGAGAUUGUUUUGUGUUUUUUUUUUUGAAUUUUAAAACAAUAAUAUUCUUAUUCCCCUGAUGGGUUUAUUUGAUGUGACCAAUGAGAUCUCUGAUAUGGUCGGAGGGAUCCAAAAGAAGUUAAAAGCAAAGCAAAAUCUUGGGUGGUAAUUGGAUUAUAAGGUAGAUAAAGGUCCAAUGCACAAUCUUUAAAACAAGUGGCUGAUGACUGUAGCAGACGAAUUAGGGAUGUGGCGAUGGCUGUGACCCAAUCUUGAUUUAGUCGGGUCCUAAAUUUGUCUUGAUUAAGGAAGGUUUAGGCUCUGGACCGGCUUGCAGUGGACCGUGCUAAAACAAUGGGUUUGCAGAUCUGGUCCUGGCCUACUUCGAUUUAGUAGUCUUUCUUUAUGUGGAUUAAACGGGAUCUAGUUGGAAAAUUUUCAAAUAGUUCUCACGCCAUUUCUACA